rnacentral:rRNA from 1 species
CUUGCUAAGUUUGAUGGCGACCGGCGCACGGGUGAGUAACACGUAUCCAACCUACCCUUUACUCGGGGAUAGCCUUUCGAAAGAAAGAUUAAUACCCGAUAGCAUAAUGAUUCCGCAUGGUUUCAUUAUUAAAGGAUUCCGGUAAAGGAUGGGGAUGCGUUCCAUUAGGUUGUUGGUGAGGUAACGGCUCACCAAGCCUUCGAUGGAUAGGGGUUCUGAGAGGAAGGUCCCCCACAUUGGAACUGAGACACGGUCCAAACUCCUACGGGAGGCAGCAUG